rnacentral:lncRNA from 1 species
GAUACUACACAAACAUGAUAGAAUCAAGUACUAUUCAUGACAUAAACUUUUCAAGAUUAGGAACCCAAUAUUAAUCACAUACCGCAGGUCGAGGUUUUACAUCUUGAAUACUAUGGAAAUGACGGUAGCAAAAUCAGGAGGACUGAGGACAAUACAUGCUCCAGAAUUGUUGUAACUGUCCUUGGAAGUCUGUAGCAGAAUCAUAUAUUGAUUGUUAGAACUCAGUUCGGAUAGAAGUAAAACAACAAAUUUAACUAUAAAAUUAAUACAUGGUUAGUUGGACAAUAUCCUUCCAGAACAUGAAUUUGAAUUGUGUGGAUGCAUACUACUACCUGCAAAAGCAUGAUAGACAUCAUCCACCAUAUAUGUUUCUCUUCC